CCUACGGGAGGCAGCAGUGGGGAAUAUUGCACAAUGGGGGAAACCCUGAUGCAGCGACGCCGCGUGAGUGAAGAAGUAAUUCGGUAUGUAAAGCUCUAUCAGCAGGGAAGAAAAGGACGGUACCUGAGUAAGAAGCCCCGGCUAACUACGAGCCAGCAGCCGCGGUAAUACGUAGGGGGCAAGUGUUAUCCGGAUUUACUGGGUGUAAAGGGAGCGUAGACGGCAGUGCAAGUCUGGAGGGAAAGGCGGGGGCUCAACCCCCGUACUGCUCUGGAAACUGUACGGCUGGAGUGCAGGAGCGGUAAGUGGAAUUCCUAGUGUAGCGGUGACAUGCGUAGAUAUUAGGAGGAACCCCAGUGGCGAAGGCGGCUUACUGGACUGUAACUGACGUUGAGGCUCGAAAGCGUGGGGAGCAAACAGGAUUAGAUCCCCCAGUAGUC
rnacentral:rRNA from 1 species